rnacentral:lncRNA from 10 species
ACCCAGGUAGUGAGCUAAAUACCUACUAAAUAGGUCAAGGAGAGCCCCUGGAUGACUAUGUGAAUACCCAGGGGCCUUCACUGUUCAGUGUCACUAAGAAGCAGCUGGGGGCAGGAAGCAGAGAAGAAUGUGCAGCAAAAUGUGAAGAGGACAAAGAAUUCACCUGCAGGGCAUUCCAAUAUCACAGUAAAGAGCAACAAUGUGUGAUAAUGGCUGAAAACAGGAAGUCCUCCAUAAUCAUUAGGAUGAGAGAUGCAGUUUUAUUUGAAAAGUAAAGGUGACCAUGGUCCUUGGGCCCUAACAUCUGGACGAAGCCUUGUAAAACAGAAAUACUGAGGUGUUUUAAUCCUCAGAAACAUUUAGAUUGGGACACAAAUCUUAUUUUUUACUCUUAAAUUUUUCACAUUUUGGGGGACAUGGUCUAUAUUUUUCUCAGAUUUCUGAUAUGUUGUCUUUUAAAAAUGUGUAAAAGUUACAGUUCCUUUUCUAUAGUUUAUUUUAAAAUGUGGGUCAAUAGUCCCACUGCUUAGAAUAAGAGGCACACAGGAUUUCAAUAGAAAUUGCAUGCCUUUUU